CCCCGAAAACUAAAUAUUUCUCCAUAUCAUUAAAAAGCAUUCAAUCGUUUGUUUAAUCAUAUGUUCUCUAUAUGUAUUUGUUGCUGCGACAGAUGAAGGAAGCAAAGACAGUAUCAGUGAAGGAAGGAGAAACUGUCACUCUACGCACUGGUCUUAUUGAAAUAAAGGGAUAUGAUCACAUACUGUGGAAAUUUGAAGACAAUCUCAUGGGGUGAAUUCAAUAUAAAGCGACAAACCAGCUCUCAUUGUAAUAACAAUGCUGAUGUGAGAUUCAAAGGCAGACUGCAGUUAAGUGAAAAACUGGAUCUCUCAUCAUCAGUAACUCCAAAACCACAGACUCUGGAGUUUAUCAUCUAAACAUGAGCAGUAGCUUCGCACUUCUUACAGAGGACCAUCACUGUUACUGUUAGUGAUCCAGGUCAUUACACAAGUAAUGAAGGCACUGAAGUGGGGGGUUGGAAUCUUGGUGCUGGUGGUUGUUGUUCUUGUAAUAGUUUCUGAUCUACUGCUGUUGCAAGAAAUCUAAACCUGGGACAACAAAAUAAUGUCAUUCGAAAUCUUGAGAAUGAAACAGUCAUACCUUUGCAUAAUAAGGAAUAGCGUUAACUGUGUUUACAAUCAGUUCCGUGCGCUGUUGAGCUGUGCAAUUGAGUUGAAUUUGUAAUAAAAUAAGAAAAAAAUGGUUUAAUUUUAGUUUGCAGCUGAUGUGUUUUGCAUUGCACAGUUUUAUGUAUUUUUUUAAUGUGAGUUUUAAAACAUUUGGUCCAGUGUAAUGUGAUUUUCUGCACUCCCUAUAAUAUAUGAUAUUGUUACUCUCUGUAAAAUAUAGGUUCUUUUGUUUGUUUUGUUUGUUUUUGUUUUUUUUACACUUUUGCAGGAAAAUCCAUUUGUAUUCUUUAAAUAUUUUCUUUUGCAUACAUUAUUUUGUAUGUUGUACUGUAUUAAACCAUACAUUAGGCUAUCUGUUGUUUAUUAUUGGUAUAUUUCUUGAUUUACAAUGGGAGUCUGCUAAAUGUAUAUUUUGCUAAUUUAACAUGAUUGUUUUUAUUUAGUGCAUUUUUUUUUCUUAUAAAUUAUAUUAUCAUUUAAAAGAAAAAAAUAACAUGAAUUUAAGAAUAUCCAUAAGGCAUGAAUGUAAAAUUUAAAUGUGGGCUGCAUUCAGAGCUACUGUAUCUGUGGUAUUUCACAUUUAGUCCUCUUUGACUCAGACCCUUUUAAAUUAACUGAAAAAAAAGAACAGAAUAUAAGAAUCUGUGUGGAGUUGAAACAGACAGGACAGGCUUAAUAAGACCCCUAUACUGUAAUAUCUGAUAGAUGACUCAUAUCUGAGAAGUGACUCAUCUUGUCCUCUCACACCUUUAACUUUGUUUGGUACCCUGUAAAGGCCAAAAAUAAGCGCAUUUCCAAAUCUGAAAUCCAGGUGAAACUUUCAGACAUGCAUGUUAUAUAAAUGAAAUGCAUGGGAAAUCAAGGCACAUUCAGGCUACCUGUCAGCAAGGUUUCUUUGUAUUAGAGGUGAUCAUAUUGUUUAAAGGUUUUAUUUGGAGCAUUUGCAAUAAUAAGAAAAUUAAUGCAAACCACUCUCAGACCCCUGAAAAAAAAAAAAAAAAACUGUUUUUCGAAAAACACACUGAUAUAUUGUAACGUUAUUUUAUCUUGAUGCCUGCCCUCUAGUGGACUAAUCGUUGACUACGGCCGGAUUCUUUGAUCAGUUAGGAAAAUUUAGUAAUUGUUCCAACCACUCUAUUUGAAUAUGCAUGUGCCUGAAUGCAUGUACUUAAAAUGCAUAAUAAAAUUGCUUUAAUAAU